rnacentral:lncRNA from 1 species
CAUUAGUCAUUGUUACAGCCCUUGUCUGUGUCGCUGGGCCACUGCCAAGAGGGGAAAUGUAGAUUUUAAAAAUGAAAAUAUCAUUUCUUAUGCAGGAAAUACUCUAGCAGUGCCUGUUUCCUCACAGUCCUUCAAUGCGUCUGGUUGCUACCUUGUCAUAAUAUUUGAAUUAGGGUGGUGCGACAUGCCACAGAUGACAAAAAUGGGAGCCCUAUCUGGAGCGGAAGAUCUCUGCUGGGGUUGGCAAAACAUACCCUGAUUCCCACCUUAAUUUUCCUGGAACAACAGAGAGUCGGGCCUCCGAAUGCUCUGCACACACCGCCCUCACUCCCCGGAGCAUGUCUGUCUCCUCUUCACGCUGUUCAUGACCAUUAGUCCUAUAAUCCCCCAUUCCUCUUCUGGCACUGAAUGGAGAGGAAGAGAAUGUCUCAUUUUCUAGUUGCCUCAGAAAGGCCCUCCCCAGGAAGUUGCAGGGAGGGGGACCACACUUCAUGGACCCAAGGCCUCUAACGAAAUGGAAGGAAGUAACAUUGCCACCCUCUAUCUUAGGGGGAUUCCCUAGGAACAGGAAGGUGGUGCCGUUUUGGCGGAAGUAGACAGGAGCCGCGUGGAGUCAUAGAGUAACAUGUCCAAUUGUAGUAAAACUCAGGUCAUUUUCAGCUUUUAUUUUCUCUCCUAAGGGCUGUCUCCUUCAUUCAAUUGUCCAGAGCAUGAAGCUAGGACCCCAUGGAGAAGACUAUCCAUCUCACGAGAUGAGGUCUCUUUAUGUUGCCCAGACUGGUCUUGAACUCCUGGCCUCAAGCGAUCCUCCCACCUCGGCCUUCCAAAGUGCUGGGAUUAAAGGCGUGAGCCACUACACCUGACUUUACAGUAAAUGCAAAUCUGAUCCUGUCACUAUCCAGCUUAAUCACCUCCUGUGGUGCUCUGGGACAGAGCCCAGCCUCCUUAGCAUGGUGUUGCUAGAAUCAGGGAACCCUAAAGCCUCCAGAGUCACCAAAGCUGUCACCACUGGGAACAAAGGCUUCUGUCUGCUAGAUAAGUAUAAUCAUGCACCAAUGACAGGGGCAGGAGAGUGGGGAGCUGGGGUUGGAGGGCCCUUCCCAGCAUCUGGAAAAUCACAUCGAGUGAAGGGGUAUUGACUAGAGAUGGUCUUUUCCAUUUCUGUUAUUCUUUUAGAAGCUAGUAGGAGUAUUAUAAAGUCAGGUUUAGUAAGGAAGAUGGGAAAACUCUCAGUUCACCCAGUUGCUUUUAAUUUAUUAGUCUUAUGUCUGUCUCCAUUAUUCCACACGUCUCACACCCCUAUCAUCGAUCAUAAAGUUCAGGAAAGAAGGUAAACAACAUUAGGAGAGCCAGACAUGAG